CAGCAGCCGCGGUAAUACGAAGGGUGCAAGCGUUAAUCGGAAUUACUGGGCGUAAAGCGUGCGUAGGCGGUGAGUUAAGUCUGCUGUGAGAUCCCCGGGCUUAACCUGGGAACUGCAUUUGUGACUGGCGAGCUAGAGUACGGUAGAGGGGGAUGGAAUUCCGCGUGUAGCAGUGAAAUGCGUAGAUAUGCAGAGGAACACCGAUGGCGAAGGCAAUCCCCUGGACCUGUACUGACGCUCAUGCACGAAAGCGUGGGGAGCAAACAGGAUUAGAUACCCCGGUAGUCCCUGUCUCUUAUAC
rnacentral:rRNA from 1 species